AAUGAACGUUGGCGGCGUGGAUUAGGCGUGCAAGUCGUACGGGUCGGUGUAGCAAUACAACGGCAAGUGGCGAAAGGGAGAGUAACACGUAGAUACCUACCCUCUGGUCGGGGAUACCGCGGCAUAACCGCAAGUAAUACCCGAUAAAAUCUCCGGAUCAAAGGUGUGAUUCCGCCGGAGGAGGGGUCUGCGUUCUAUCAGCUUGUUGGGGAGGUAAUGGCUCACCAAGGCUAAGACGGAUACGGGGUGUGAGAGCAUGCCCCCGCUCACUGGGACUGAGACACUGCCCAGACACCUACGGGUGGCUGCAGUCGAGAAUCUUCGGCAAUGGGCGCAAGCCUGACCGAGCGACGCCGCGUGCGGGAUGAAGGCCUUCGGGUUGUAAACCGCUGUCGAGGGGAAUGAAGUGUAGGUGGGUACUCCCAUCUAUUUGACAGAUCCCUGGAGGAAGCAUGGGCUAAGUUCGUGCCAGCCGCCGCGGUAA
rnacentral:rRNA from 1 species